rnacentral:rRNA from 1 species
GCGACCCCAGGUCAGGCGGGAUUACCCGCUGAAUUUAAGCAUAUCAAUAUAAGGCGGAGGGA